rnacentral:rRNA from 1 species
UAUAUUGGACAAUGGGCGAAAGCCUGAUCCAGCCAUGCUGUGUGUUCGACGAAGGUCUUCGGAUUGUAAAUCACUUCAAGUUGGGAGGAAGGGUUUUAGAUUAAUACUUUGUAAUUUUGUCGUUACCGACAGUAUAAGCACUGGCUAACUUCGUGCCAGCAGCCGCGGUAAUACGAAGGGUGCAAGCGUUAAUCGGAAUUACUGGGGGUAAAGGGCGCGUAGGUGGUUCGUUAAGUUGGAUGUGAAAGCCGCGGGCUCAACCUGGGGACUGCAUCCAAAACUGGCGAGCUAGAGUACGGUAGAGGGUGGUGGAAUUUCCUGUGUAGCGGUGAAAUGCGUAAAUAUAGGAAGGAACACCAGUGGCGAAGGCGACCACCUGGACUGAUACUGACACUGGGGUGCGAAAGCGUGGGGAGCGAACAGA